CUUUAACAUUUCAUAUAAUAAGGGCUUGGUGAUGAUGAACUCCUUUAACUACCUUAUCUGUGAUAACUUUAUAAUCUUUAAUACUAUUAGUAUUUUAAUUUUUGAGAGUUUAAUAGUUAAAAAUGUUUUUCAUUGUUCUUUUUAUUUUUAUUUCCUUACUUCAGAGGUCUAACCAUUACAAGAUCAAUAAAGAGUCAAUACUUUUUAGUUUUUUCCCAACUUAGUAUUUAAAAAUAUUGCCAUUUACAGAAUUCUUAUUUAUGGCAAAACAUGAAAGGUAUUUCUUCUAAGGUCAGGAAAAGAUAAGGACGCCAUCAUCUCCAUUACCAUUUAAUAGUGUGUUGGAAAUAUAAGCCAAUGCAGUCAGACAGGAGAAAACAAUUGGAAUUAAAAGUGAAAAAUAAGUAAAACUAUUUCUGUUAUAGAUAUCACACAUGGAAGCCCCAAGAGAAUCAAUACUAUAACAAAGCAACAAUAAAAGAAUUUCUUAACAAAAUAUAAAACUGACAUUCGAUAGCCAACUGCCAGUCAGCCAACUGCUUCUUGAUCUUCAAGAAGCGAAAGAGGGAGCACUGGCAUCUAGAUCAGCCAGGCCACUGAAUGCACUACUGGGCUGGACUGGCAGCUUUUUCAAAGAAAAACUUCCCAGUUUCUGAGGAACACAGGGGGUUGAUUUACGUGACACUGGUAGUAGCACCAGGAUAAAGCAAAUAAGUAAAUACAUUGCUGUUAAUAAGAACCUAGAUUUGCAGUGUAAGAAGAAAGAUAUAAAAUAAAAGAAGGUAUGGAAAAGUUCUGUAAUGGCUAACUUUGAAUUAGAAGUAGAAGUUUAUAAUGUAAAAUAUGUAUUUCUUAACUCUGUAUAAUACCAUACAAUAACAAUGAGUGCACCUGGUGCCAAGUUCUUGGUGGUUUCUAAGGAACACCCCCCGCUGAAGGAAACCAGAGCUCUGUAGGGAAAUGGCUAAUUCCAGGAGUUGAAAGGGAAAGUACAGGCGAGGUUGAGAUCGGCCAAAAACCAAGUAAGUGUUCAAAUACUGAAGGAGCCACGUGAAAAAGAAACAAGAACAAGAGGACCCUACUUGCCAAAUUUAGAACAAUUUGAACAUGGGAAAGAAUAAUUACUAGAGCUAAAAAUGUUGUUCAGCAAUGUGUAGAGACACAAGAUCAAUAUACAAAAAUCAAUUGUAUAUGUGUAGACUAGCAAUGAACAAUGUGAAAAUGAAAUUUUAAAAACAAAUCCAUUUAAAUAGCAUCAUAAGAACAAAAUAGGAAUGAAUUUUUAAGUAUAGUACAAGACUUGUACACUAAAGAAAAAUCAUUGAAAGAAACUGAAGAACUAAAUAAAUGAAAAGAUAUCACACGUAAUCGACUGGAAGAUUUAAUAUUUUUAAAAUGGCAAUACUCCCCAAAUGGAUCUACAGAUUAAAUACAAUGCCUACCUGUCUUUUUUGCAGAAGUUGACAAGAAGCUGAUCCUAAAAUUUUGGGGGAAAUGCAAGAGACUGGAAGUGCCAAAACAUUCUUGAAAGAGAAGAACAAGACUGAAGGACUCACAUUUUUCUGUUUCAAAAUGUAUGACAAAGCUACAGUAAUCAAGACAGUAUUGUACUGGCAUAAGGAUCAACAUAUAGAUAAAUGACAUAGAAUUGAGAGUCCAGAAAUGAUACUAUAUAUCUAUAACUAGUUGAUUUUCAACAAAGGGAUCAAGACAAUCCCAACACAUUGAGCUGGGAACAUUACAUCUCCACAUGCGAAAGAAUUGUUGGAGCCCUCUAUCUCAUACCAUAUGCAAAAACUAACUCAAAAUAGAUCAAAGACCUAAAUGUAAGAACUA